AAUAAACACAGCCACAAGUUUCCGCGCCUAAUUUUAAUUGUCCGUCUUAUUUAAAAUUUUUUAUAAUUAGCAUUUUGUUGUUAUGAGAUGAUAAAACAUGAAUAAUAUUUUACUCGUAAUUUAUGUUUUAAAUUUUUUUAAAAAAAUUUUAAAUGAGACGAACGGUCAAAGUUGUGCGCGGAAAACCAUGGUUGUAGUUAUU
rfam:Oryza barthii chromosome 8, whole genome shotgun sequence.